CCGCGUAGCUCAGUUGGAAGAGCAUUGGGCUAGUAUUCCAAAGGUCGUAGGUUCGAAUCCCACCGUGG